rnacentral:rRNA from 1 species
UGAAAGCCCGGGGCUUAACCCCGGAAGUGCAUUUGAUACUGUCAGGCUUGAGUAUGCNAGAGGGAAGUGGAAUUCCUGGUGUAGAGGUGAAAUUCGUAGAUAUCAGGAGGAACACCGGUGGCGAAGGCGACUUCCUGGACCAAUACUGACGCUGAGGUGCGAAGGCGUGGGUAGCAAACAGGAUUANAUACCCUGGUAGUCCACGCAGUAAACGUUGUUCACUAGGUGUAGCGGGUAUUGACCCCUGCUGUGCCGCAGUUAACGCAUUAAGUGAACCGCCUGGGGGAGUACGGCCCGCNAGGUCUAAAACUCAAAGGGAAUUGACGGGGGCCCGCACAAGCNGNGGANCAUGUGGUUUNAUUCCNACNCAACNCGAAGAACCUUACCCUGNAUUUGACAU